rnacentral:rRNA from 1 species
AUUGAACGCUGGCGGCAGGCUUAACACAUGCAAGUCGAGCGGGGUGAUGGUGCUUGCACUAUCACUUAGCGGCGGACGGGUGAGUAAUGCUUAGGAAUCUGCCUAUUAGUGGGGGACAACAUCUCGAAAGGGAUGCUAAUACCGCAUACGUCCUACGGGAGAAAGCAGGGGAUCACUUGUGACCUUGCGAUCAUAGAUGAGCCUAAGUCGGAUUAGCUAGUUGGUGGGGUAAAUGCCUACCAAGGCGACGAGCUGUAGCGGGUCUGAGAGGAUGAGCCGCCACACUGGGACUGGAAAACGGCCCAGACUCCUCCGGGAGGCAGCAGUGGGGAAUAUUGGACAAUGGGGGGAACCCUGAUCCAGCCAUGCCGCGUGUGUGAAGAAGGCCUUAUGGUUGUAAAGCACUUUAAGCGAGGAGGAGGCUCUUUUGGUUAAUACCCAAGAUGAGUGGACGUUACUCGCAGAAUAAGCACCGGCUAACUCUGUGCCAGCCGCCGCAGUAA